GCGGCAGUGGCUCAAUGGAUAGAGCAGCAGAUUCCGGAUCUGCAGGUUGGAGGUUCAAGUCCUCUCUGCCGCA
rnacentral:tRNA from 1 species